CCUCACUAGGUUGGUACAUUCACAACAUCCCUUCAGAACUGUGGCUGGUGUAUUAUGGGAGCUGAGAACUUGCCUAGUGAAUAGAUGAAGGAACAAAAUUUUCCCCAAACCUCUAACAGCAUCCUACUCCCACUAUGUGACCUAUAGGCAUGGCCCAGGGGUGCCAGGCCCACCCCCAGGCUACCAAGAAGCAGAGUCAGGGAACCAGACACCAGGGUUUAUUGAGGUGCUGAUGUUCUAGAGCCAAGAAACAGGAAAACAGAGAGGAUCCGUGUGGCCCCUGGUUCCUGCCUCCUGAUUAUCUGUGUGGCCAAGCUUCCAGAAGUAGGUGGCAGUGUAGCGACCUCUACCCCAGGCUGAGGAGAGGAGGAGGGUCCAGUUCUUCCCUGCCCCAGAGGGCCUGGUGCCUG